UAGUAAUAAGUUAGCCUCCACAGAGAAGGAAGAUCCUGGCUCUCCUCCUUGCCCCAGCCAGUAGCAGUGGUUGUCUUACAGAGAGUUUGUGGUAAACAGGAGAAUGGCUCUCUAGUGAUGUCCACAUCCUAAUCCCUUGAGUCUGGAACUGGCUUAUGAAUUCGUGGGUCUGGUGAAACAGAUCUCUAUAAGGCUGUUGUCUUUACCUCUGAUGCUGGGGUUUGACAUCCACAGGCUGGGCAGCUAGGAAGGGAAGGUCACAGCAGGCUGGACCCCAAAGGAUGAACUCAAACUCUGUUUGCUCCUGUUGCCUCUGUUUUAACUGCUCAACUGGAGAACAAGUAAGUCCCUUCAUAAGGAGCUGAAAGAACAGAAUGAAGAAACUGGUCCUAGAACAGACAAGGAGGAAUGCGAGGUUCUUAAUAUAAAGGAAUGUAACAGUGUGUGGUUUAUGUUUUUAACAUAACAUUUACUGACAUAUCACAAUGGUGUAUUUAGUAUUCAGCUCACAUCUCUUGCAUAGCUUACGUGGCAUGUUCCCCUUCAUUU